rnacentral:rRNA from 1 species
CCUACGGGAGGCAGCAGUAGGGAAUUUUCCACAAUGGGCGCAAGCCUGAUGGAGCAAUCCCGCGUGAACGAUGAAGGUCCUACAAGAUCGUAAAGUUCUUUUAUUUGAGACGAACAGCUAAGAUAGGAAAUGAUUUUAGUUUGACUGUAUCAAUUGAAUAAGUAUCGGCUAACUAUGUGCCAGCAGCCGCGGUAAUA